CCUACGGGAGGCAGCAGUGGGGAAUAUUUGGCAAUGGGCGCAAGCCUGACCCAGCAACGCCGCGUGAAGGAAGAAGGCUUUCGGGUUGUAAACUUCUUUUCUCAGGGACGAAGAAAGUGACGGUACCUGAGGAAUAAGCCACGGCUAACUACGUGCUAGCAGCCGCGGUAAUACGUAGGUGGCAAGCGGUAUUCGGAUUUACUGGGUGUAAAGGGCGUGUAGGCGGGAGAGUAAGUCAGAUGUGAAAACCAUGGGCUCAACCUGUGGCCUGCAUUUGAAACUGUUUGUCUUGAGUACUGGAGGGGGAGACGGAAUUCCCAGUGUAGCAGUGAAAUGCGUAGAUAUUAGGAGGAACACCAGUGGCGAAGGCGGUCUGCUGGACAGCAACUGACGCUGAGGUGCGAAGGCGUGGGGAGCAAACAGGAUUAGAUACCCUAGUAGUC
rnacentral:rRNA from 1 species